rnacentral:sRNA from 1 species
AUUCUUCAAAUCGUUCUGACGUUUGUCGAUCGAAAUUUUCCUUCA